AGAAUUUUAUAUUAACUUUACCUAGCGGUUAAUGCUGGUUUUUUGUUAAUAUUUGGUUGGGAGGAUUAUUAAAUUUAACAAACUUUAUAUCAUUAUAAACUUUGAUUUAAGAAAAUAUAAUGAUCUUCAAUUUGAAAUAGUUAGAGUAAAUUACCUUAGGGAUAACAGCGUAAUAUUUUUUUAUAGACCUUAUAGAAAAAAAUGGUUGCGACCUCGAUGUUGAAUUAAGAUAAAUUUUAAAUGCAGGAGUUUAA
rnacentral:rRNA from 1 species